GGGGGUGAAUGGUCUCGACUUCAGACGUCGCGACAGGUGAAGCGGGCCGAGGAAGGCGACGAUGAUCUCGUAAACCAUGCGUCGUAAACCAAUAAGCGCCGAAUCUAAUCAGCGCGACUUCGCCCUCGCUGCCUAAGCAGCCGGCGAGUCUGUCAGCCCGGGAGGCCUCCGACCCGGAUCCUGGCAUCGACUAGGAGGAUCACCAAUCGACCCGGUCGCGGGGUCGUGCGGGACAUCAAACAGCGACUGGGCCUGUCACUGGAUCUUGUGCACGUGAAUCCAGGGGCCGAGUAGAGACCCUGUGCACUGCGCCCGGAGAAGCCCUGUCAAACCGCUGAAGGACGCGGGUUCAAUUCCCGCCACCUCCACAA
rnacentral:tmRNA from 1 species